rnacentral:rRNA from 1 species
AUUGAACGCUGGCGGCAUGCCUUACACAUGCAAGUCGAACGGUAACAGGUCUUCGGAUGCUGACGAGUGGCGAACGGGUGAGUAAUACAUCGGAACGUGCCUAGUAGUGGGGGAUAACUACUCGAAAGAGUGGCUAAUACCGCAUGAGAUCUACGGAUGAAAGCAGGGGACUGCAAGACCUUGUGCUACUAGACCGGCCGAUGGAAGAUGAGGUAGUUGGUGGGAUAAAAGCUUACCAAGCCGGCGAUCUGUAGCUGGUCUGAGAGGACGAUCGGCCACACUGGGACUGAGAAACGGCCCAGACUCCUACGGGAGGCAGCAGUGGGGAAUUUUGGACAAUGGGCGCAAGCCUGAUCCAGCAAUGCCGCGUGCAGGAUGAAGGCCUUCGGGUUGUAAACUGCUUUUGUACGGAACGAAAAGCCCCGGGUUAAUACCCUGGGGUCAUGACGGUACCGUAAGAAUAAGCACCGGCUAACUACGUGCCAGCAGCCGCCGUAA